rnacentral:rRNA from 1 species
AUGCAAGUCGAGCGGACAGAUGGGAGCUUGCUCCCUGAUGUUAGCGGCGGACGGGUGAGUAACACGUGGGUAACCUGCCUGUAAGACUGGGAUAACUCCGGGAAACCGGGGCUAAUACCGGAUGCUUGUUUGAACCGCAUGGUUCAAACAUAAAAGGUGGCUUCGGCUACCACUUACAGAUGGACCCGCGGCGCAUUAGCUAGUUGGUGAGGUAAUGGCUCACCAAGGCAACGAUGCGUAGCCGACCUGAGAGGGUGAUCGGCCACACUGGGACUGAGACACGGCCCAGACUCCUACGGGAGGCAGCAGUAGGGAAUCUUCCGCAAUGGACGAAAGUCUGACGGAGCAACGCCGCGUGAGUGAUGAAGGUUUUCGGAUCGUAAAGCUCUGUUGUUAGGGAAGAACAAGUACCGUUCGAAUAGGGCGGUACCUUGACGGUACCUAACCAGAAAGCCACGGCUAACUACGUGCCAGCAGCCGCGGUAAUACGUAGGUGGCAAGCGUUGUCCGGAAUUAUUGGGCGUAAAGGGCUCGCAGGCGGUUUCUUAAGUCUGAUGUGAAAGCCCCCGGCUCAACCGGGGAGGGUCAUUGGAAACUGGGGAACUUGAGUGCAGAAGAGGAGAGUGGAAUUCCACGUGUAGCGGUGAAAUGCGUAGAGAUGUGGAGGAACACCAGUGGCGAAGGCGACUCUCUGGUCUGUAACUGACGCUGAGGAGCGAAAGCGUGGGGGAGCGAACAGGAUUAGAUACCCUGGUAGUCCACGCCGUAAACGAUGAGUGCUAAGUGUUAGGGGGUUUCCGCCCCUUAGUGCUGCAGCUAACGCAUUAAGCACUCCGCCUGGGGAUUACGGUCGCAAGACUGAAACUCAAAGGAAUUGACGGGGGCCCGCACAAGCGGUGGAGCAUGUGGUUUUAAUUCGAAGCAACGCGAAAAAACCUUACCAGG